rnacentral:rRNA from 1 species
UUGAUUCUGGCUCAGGAUGAACGCUAGCUACAGGCUUAACACAUGCAAGUCGAGGGGCAGCGGGAUUGAAGCUUGCUUCAAUUGCCGGCGACCGGCGCACGGGUGAGUAACGCGUAUCCAACCUUCCGUACACUCAGGGAUAGCCUUUCGAAAGAAAGAUUAAUACCUGAUGGUAUGAUGAGAUUGCAUGAUAGCAUCAUUAAAGAUUUAUCGGUGUACGAUGGGGAUGCGUUCCAUUAGGUAGUAGGCGGGGUAACGGCCCACCUAGCCAACGAUGGAUAGGGGUUCUGAGAGGAAGGUCCCCCACAUUGGAACUGAGACACGGUCCAAACUCCUACGGGAGGCAGCAGUGAGGAAUAUUGGUCAAUGGACGAGAGUCUGAACCAGCCAAGUAGCGUGAAGGAUGAAGGUCCUACGGAUUGUAAACUUCUUUUAUAAGGGAAUAAACCCUCCCACGUGUGGGAGCUUGUAUGUACCUUAUGAAUAAGCAUCGGCUAACUCCGUGCCAGCAGCCGCGGUAAUACGGAGGAUGCGAGCGUUAUCCGGAUUUAUUGGGUUUAAAGGGAGCGCAGACGGGUCGUUAAGUCAGCUGUGAAAGUUUGGGGCUCAACCUUAAAAUUGCAGUUGAUACUGGCGUCCUUGAGUGCGGUUGAGGUGUGCGGAAUUCGUGGUGUAGCGGUGAAAUGCUUAGAUAUCACGAAGAACUCCGAUUGCGAAGGCAGCACACUAAUCCGUAACUGACGUUCAUGCUCGAAAGUGUGGGUAUCAAACAGGAUUAGAUACCCUGGUAGUCCACACGGUAAACGAUGGAUACUCGCUGUUGGCGAUAUACUGUCAGCGGCUUAGCGAAA